rnacentral:rRNA from 1 species
UACGUAGGGUGCAAGCGUUGUCCGGAAUUAUUGGGCGUAAAGAGCUCGUAGGCGGUUUGUCGCGUCUGCUGUGAAAACGCGAGGCUCAACCUCGCGCCUGCAGUGGGUACGGGCAGACUAGAGUGCGGUAGGGGAGAUUGGAAUUCCUGGUGUAGCGGUGGAAUGCGCAGAUAUCAGGAGGAACACCGGUGGCGAAGGCAGCUCGCUGGGACGGUACUGACGCUGAGGCGCGAAAGCGUGGGGAGCAAGCAGG